AAUAGAAUUUACACCUCCAUUUGUUGUGUUGUCUUGCACUUCCCAAUGUUGAUGUCUCUAUGGCUCCAAUGAACUGGUGUAUUUUGCAGCAAAUCUGAUGACUUGUAUGGAAAUGGCAUGAAAGUUACCCAGAUUACAUCUGGAGCAAAUGCACUCGGAGCCUGGGGCCAGACUGGUGCUAACACUGCAAACUUUGUCCAGAGCUCUCUCCAACCUGAAGGCUUGCUGGGGGUGCAAUGUCACCUUCACACAUGCUGGGCCCUUUCAGAAAAGUGCCAGAUCGUGUAACUGGUGCUAUUUUUCAUGCUCUGGUACAAUGUGUAGCACCACGGGGGUCUCAGCUUUACCAAAAUCAAAAUUCCAUUUGUCAGCUAAGUGCAGAGGCAUUUGUUUUUUGCUCUCCUCCCACAGAAUUGUUGGCCAUUUAUUUGCAGGCCUUUUGCGGGAUUUCUUGGCCAUUUAUUUGCAGGCCUUUUUUCCCAGCCCCAAAUUCUUGGGUUGGCUCUGUCUGCUUAAAGAGCCUGUCUUCACAAAGCUGCACUCGGGUGCCUCUGUGCGCUGUCUUAGAUCCUACUGCCGGCCCUUCAGGACUCCGAGCCAGGAAAGAACUCUCCAACCUCUGGCUCGAGACUCUAUUUUUUUUCUCAUUCUUUUCCUUACUCUCCUCCUCCUUCUAUUUCUGACUAAUUCCAUCUCUUUUUUUUGUUGUUGUUCCUCUCCUUUUCCUAUUCUUCCUUCCCACUAUCUCUGAGUUGUUGACUUUCUCCUAUAAUCCUUCUCUAUUCCCUUUCUCUUUUUGUCCACCUCUCCUUUAGUCUGUUUCUCUGCCCUUCUUAUUCCUCUUCUGUCCUUUCUCCUCUCCUCACAUCUCUGAUCAUUUUCUCCCACACAUCCCUGUAUUGAUUUUUCUGUCCUCUAAAGGGCUCAUGGCUGAUUCAGACAGCAAGUCCAUGCACUGGACUAAUGACACAAAUACUUUAGGUCGCCGUUUCACCUACUCAGCCCAGAAAGCAAAGCUGAGCGUGAGGCCCUGACCUGGAGCCCGCUCCAGCCCGCCUCCCGGAGCCAGCCUGCACCGUUGCCCUGGCAGCGAUGAUGCAUGUGCUGUGGGCCCUGCCGGCGCCUGAGUGCCUCUGCCUGAACGCUGCUCCUAAGCGAGCCCGCUCCCAGCACUACCGCAUGGCUCUGAGGACAUUUCCUUUCAAUAAAGGCAGACUCUGGCCCCAAUUAUUCUGAUAGCAAACCUCUUCCUCCUCAUUGAAGCCAUGCCAUCACCUUGGUUUGGAGAGAGACAUUUUUUUCCCAUUCAUAAGCUUUCUUUUUCCCAUUUUCAUGUGAAGCCCCCUCUGCUUUUCAGCUGGUGAUUGCUCUGGUGAGACUGAAUGGACUUGCUGGUGAAAUGAAAUCUCUUCUUUCCUGUCUUGGUCCUGCCUAAAUUCCUGCAAAUAUAUUUAAGCCAAGGACUCAGGCUAAUUCCUAAGUUGAUCACAUUAAUUUGUCACUCCUAGAGGGAAAAAGAUCAAUUCCCUUGAAGCAUGUGGAGUACCUCCUGUGACAGCUGACUUGCCAGGGGACUCCCUACAGAAUUCUGUGAUAUACAUUUUACUUCUGUGUAUGUAUGGUAUAUAUGGUAUGUAUACCAUGUACACACAUGUUACAUUGAGUAUGAUUGACUGUGGUUGGAAACCCACACACACACUCAAGUCUGUAAAUAUCCUUCCUCACUGAAACCUGUGCUUUGGAAAUCAUUUCUUGUACAGCUGUGCAGUUUCUUGUAACAGCUGAGGACAAAGCUAAGACAGGCGGACAAUUUAGACAAAGAUCAUCUAAAGAGUACAGUAUCUCCCUAGCAACUCAUGAGGACAGACAACCAAGUGGCAAGGUUGACUCCCAAUGGGAUGGCAGACUUUUCUUCUCUCCUUUUUGAGUUUGUGUUUCCUAAGUGUUUCUUAACUUCUGAGUGCACCAGGCUGUACCCGUUAGAUCCUUUCAAUAUGACAGUUUUGUGCUUCUCUCUGACAGGAUGUUUCUCCAUCGAGCUAUAGUGCAGGAUGGGAGGGAGGUGGGAAUACUCCUUGCCUGGGCUGGAGUUUACAGAGACACUGCACAGCUUACACUCCUGUUAAGUGUAAAUAUUCAACACUUCCAUUCCAUUUGUGUAAAAAAUAAAGCACACACGAUUAUAAAAUCAAGAUGUAUAUUUCAUACUCAGUGUGUCUGUGCAUAUUCAUUGCGUUUCUAGUUGUCAGUGGUGGGUGGCCCCAUUGUAAAAAUGCCUGAUAGAGUGUUUAUAAACAUGGUUUUAUUAUAAGAUACAAAUAUUAAAACAUUUUAUACUUUAUAGCAAA